CACAAUUAAUACAAGAAAUCAUACGCUGCUGUUCUUCCAUUACUGUUUGUAGGUUGAUGAUGAGGCCUUUAAUAGUUUCUGUACCCUGAAUAUUCUGUCUCAAGACGGUGAAUGCAUCCUCAUGAUACCAUAGUCGGCUACGUUUCCCUGGGUUCUCAGGUGAUUCUUGGCGAGUAAUUUCCCUUCCCAUUUCUCUAAGCAGAGGAUGCAUCAUAAGUUUACUGUCUUUGAUAGUGACAAUAUGUCGGUCAAUGAGAUUUUGAAUUCCAACUUUUGUGUAGAAC
rnacentral:misc_RNA from 1 species